UACAGAGGGGGCAAGCGUUAUUCGGAAUUAUUGGGCGUAAAGGGCGCGUAGGCGGCUUUGCAAGUGGCGGGUGAAAUCCCUCGGCUCAACCGGGGAAUGGCUGGGUAUACUGACAGGCUUGAGGUUGGUAGGGGUGCCUGGAACUCUAGGUGGAGCGGUGAAAUGCGUAGAUAUCUAGAGGAACGCCCGUGGCGAAAGCGGGGCACUGGGCCACACCUGACGCUAAGACGCGAAAGCGUGGGGAGCAAACGGG
rnacentral:rRNA from 1 species